GGCUUGGAGGUGCAGUGGUAAGCUCGUUUCAUCGUCUUCUAGUAUUACGGACAGAUGACAGGAAGAGCCGUGGGUUCGAAUCCCGCCCAAGCCG